rnacentral:rRNA from 1 species
UACGUAGGUGGCGAGCGUUAUCCGGAUUUACUGGGUGUAAAGGGCGUGUAGGCGGGAGUGCAAGUCAGAUGUGAAAACCACGGGCUCAACCUGUGGCCUGCAUUUGAAACUGUACUUCUUGAGUACUGGAGAGGCAGACGGAAUUCCUAGUGUAGCGGUGAAAUGCGUAGAUAUUAGGAGGAACACCAGUGGCGAAGGCGGUCUGCUGGACAGCAACUGACGCUGAGGCGCGAAAGCGUGGGGAGCAAACAGG